rnacentral:rRNA from 1 species
UACGUAGGGGGCAAGCGUUGUCCGGAUUUAUUGGGCGUAAAGAGCGUGUAGGCGGCUUGGUAGGUCCGCUGUGAAAACUCGAGGCUCAACCUCGAGAUGUCGGCGGAAACCACUUGGCUAGAGUCCGGAAGAGGAGAGUGGAAUUCCUGGUGUAGCGGUGAAAUGCGCAGGUAUCAGGAGGAACACCGGUGGCGAAGGCGGAUCUCUGGGCCUUACCUGACGCUGAGGCGCGAAAGCUAGGGGAGCGAACAGG